rnacentral:rRNA from 1 species
CCUACGGGAGGCAGCAGUGGGGAAUCUUGCACUAUGGGCGCAAGCCGGAUGCAGCCAUGCCGCGUGUAUGAAGAAGGCCUUCGGGUUGUAAAGUACUUUCAACGGGGAGGAAGGAGAUAGAGUUAAUACCUGUGCUCAUUGACAUUACCCGCAGAAGAAGCACCGGCUAACUCCGUGGCAGCAGCCGCGGUAAU